GACUGAACUACUUUCUUUUCUAAGAAAAUGAAUACACAGAAUAAAAGGAUUCAAGUACUAAUGGACAUCGUGGAGCAAAAGAUGAUGUUACCAUGAGACUGUAAGAUUUGAUAUCCUGCUCAGAAGAAACCAUAAAAGAUUAUGACAACACUGUAACUACCAUGAAAAGAAAACUGGCAGAAAAGAACUCUUAAGGAAGUGAUUGAAAGCAGCCAGUUCAGGGAUUGUGAGGAGACUGUAUUGGAAGUGGGAAGAAAGUGUUGCUCUGAAAGUAAGCCUAUUGUGGAAAAAAAGGCAUCUGCAAAGAAAGGAUGUAUGAAGAGUUGGGAAGAUGACUCUCUAGAUCAAAAGAGAACUGAAUAUCUGAAAGCAAAUAAUACUGAGAACUAUGCAGAAAUACUAGCACUGAAGGAAAGAACUGAAACCUUGGAAGGUCAGCUAGCUGCACUUGAAGAGCAGUGAAGAAGAAUAAAAAACAGAAAAGAAGAGCUAGUGGGAAAAUAAAAAACUUGAAUCUCAAGGUCUCUGGUUCUGAAGAAAGGGCUUCUGGCUUAGGUGAAGAACUUCAACAGUGUUGAGCUGACUAUCAGGAGAUUGUUUCUGAAUUGGACAAACAGAAAACUAUCAAUACGGAACAAGAAGAGAAGAUUAUUCAACUAAAUAACGAGGUAGAAGGUGCUAAACAACAUAUAAUUUAUAAAGUGUCACUAAUUAAAAGAAUGCAGUCCAAAGUAGGUGAGUUGUAUAAAUGUCACUUAGAGUCUUACGUUGUGGAUAUUGAUUCUGUUAAUCUAAAGGAUUCCUUAGACUCUCAGAAAGAUGAACUGGAGAGAGGUCAAAUGAGUCCUGUGUGCAUGGAGUACCAAACGGCUUCUACAGCAGAUCUGGGACAGGAGAGCUCCUUCCGUUGCAGUGUUGAAAGCACUUGGAAGGAAUGCAAAAAC